UACGAAGGGUGCAAGCGUUACUCGGAAUUACUAGGCGUAAAGCGUGCGUAGGUGGUGGUUUAAGUCUGUUGUGAAAGCCCUGGGCUCAACCUGGGAAUUGCAGUGGAUACUGGGUCACUAGAGUGUGGUAGAGGGUAGCGGAAUUCCCGGUGUAGCAGUGAAAUGCGUAGAGAUCGGGAGGAACAUCCGUGGCGAAGGCGGCUACCUGGACCAACACUGACACUGAGGCACGAAAGCGUGGGGAGCAAACAGG
rnacentral:rRNA from 1 species